rnacentral:hammerhead_ribozyme from 1 species
ACCCAGAUGUCGUGUCCCAAACAGGACGUAACAAGCGUCCUGGAU